rnacentral:rRNA from 1 species
UACACGAGGCCCGAGCGUUAAUCGGAAUCACUGGGCUUAAAGGGUGCGUAGGCGGACCCGCAAGUGCGUCGUGAAAUCCCCCGGCUCAACCGGGGAACGGCGGCGCGGACUGCGGGUCUUGAGGAGGCUAGGGGUCGCUGGAACGCUCGGUGGAGCGGUGAAAUGCGUUGAGAUCGAGCGGAACGCCAACGGUGAAGACAGGCGACUGGGGCCUUCCUGACGCUGAGGCACGAAAGCGUGGGGAUCAAACGGG